CCUACGGGUGGCUGCAGUGGGGAAUAUUGCACAAUGGGCGCAAGCCUGAUGCAGCGACGCCGCGUGGGGGAUGACGGCCUUCGGGUUGUAAACCUCUUUCAGCAGGGACGAAGCGCAAGUGACGGUACCUGCAGAAGAAGCACCGGCCAACUACGUGCCAGCAGCCGCGGUAAUACGUAGGGUGCGAGCGUUGUCCGGAAUUACUGGGCGUAAAGAGCUCGUAGGUGGUUUGUCGCGUUGUUCGUGAAAACCGGGGGCUUAACCCUCGGCGUGCGGGCGAUACGGGCAGACUAGAGUACUGCAGGGGAGACUGGAAUUCCUGGUGUAGCGGUGGAAUGCGCAGAUAUCAGGAGGAACACCGGUGGCGAAGGCGGGUCUCUGGGCAGUAACUGACGCUGAGGAGCGAAAGCGUGGGGAGCGAACAGGAUUAGAUACCCUAGUAGUC
rnacentral:rRNA from 1 species